GAUUUAAGGUGGUUAUAGUCAAAGGUCUCACCUCUUACCAUUCCGAACAGAGCAGUUAAACCUUUUAGCGCAGAUGGUACUACGCAAGUGGGAGAGUAUGUCGCCGCCUUCU
rnacentral:rRNA from 1 species